rnacentral:snRNA from 1 species
GUGCUCGCCUCGGCAGCACAUAUACUAAAAUUGGAACGAUACAGAGAAGAGUAGCAUGGCCCCUGAGCAAGGAUGACAAGCACAUUCGCCAAGUGUUCCACAUUUUU